CAGGGUCUAAACCUCUCAAAAAAUUUUAAUGAGCUUGAGGUCGAGCUCCUUCCUUUCAAAUUUUUAAACAAGGCAUGUGUACAAUUUUCUUUCAAAAUUUUAACAAUGUUGGGGUUGAACCCCUUCCCUUCAAAUUUUUAAUAAGGUAGGGGUCGAGCACAUUCAAUUAUUAUUUUUUAAAGAUUGAUAUCGAGCUCAUUCGUUUUCGAUUUUUCAAAGUGGUUGAAACUUAAUAUUCUAAAUCUAUGUGCUCAAAUGUUUAUUAACUCGUCAUGAGUUUGCUAACCUCUAGGCAUGAGCAUGAACACUCCUUUACAUGAGCUCACCAACUCUUAGCAUGAUCCUGCCUAAUCCUUGGCAUCAACAUGCCAACCUUUAGGUAUGAGCAUGACCACAACAUGCCAGCAUGACCACUCCUUGGCAUGAGCUCGCCAACUCUUUAGCAUGACCCUACCUAAUCCUUGGCAUCAACAUGCCAACCUCUAGGCAUGAGCUCGCCAACUCUUUAACAUGAUCAUGCCUAAUCUUUGGCAUCAGUAUGCUAGCAUGAGCAUGACCACUUCUUAGCAUGAGCUCCCCAAACUCUAGGCUUUGGCAUGCCUAUACCUUAGCAUGAGCUCGCCUAUCUCUUGGCAUGAGCAUACCUAUCACCAGAUAUGCUUAUGCAUCUCAUCCUAGAAACUUGUAUAUCACGCAAGCCUUUGACAUAG
rnacentral:lncRNA from 1 species